UUUUUAUAGAUCAUGUAUGUGUGCAUGUGUAUAUGCAUUAAUGUAUAUGCGUGCAUAUAUAUUAAUAUAUGU
rnacentral:miRNA from 1 species